CCUGAGGCAGCAGCUGUACUUUCUGGCUUCUCCCACACAGGCGGAGGCAUGGGAGAGAACAGGAGCCCGGAGGCCCCAGCCGGACCCCAGGUGCUAGGCCUCAGCUAGCAGGAGCAGAGUGAGGAUUUACAGAGCAGAAUGUGAGCCCUGGCAGGGACCCCCGGGAUAUACGACAACUUCCUACAUAGUGUUCAGGACGCAUCAAAGUUUUAAUAAUUUCUCCGCAGUUCUGGUGGUGGGGUUGCUUCUUUUGUGAAAGAACUUUGAGAAAGGCCGUGCACUUGAUCCUGCAUCGGAGAAGCAAAGCACAUGCCAGCGUAUCCGAGACGGGGACCCCCCCCAGGAACCACCUGCUUACUGUAGUCUCCCCCAUCUUCAGCCUUGAUUUGUAGCAGUCCCGGUCUUGCUAACCAAGCACUUUCAGCUUUUCCAACUAGUUCAUUUUAUGAGUGAAAAAAACUGUGACAACUAAUUCAAUUUUUUGUUCCAUUUUGUUUUCUGGGUAUGCUGUGUGUGUGGUUUAUGUACUUGUCGGAGCUGUGCGUGUACGUGCUGACGUCAUGAGGGAUGUCUCUCGCACCCUGCUGCACCUGCCCUUAGGCAGGCUGGCUGGUCAGUGAGCUCCAGGGACCCUGCUGUCUCUGGCCCCUCCUUCCAGUGGUUACAGGCCUAAACCUGGCUUUUUACAUAGAUUCUGGGGAUUUGAACUCAGGUCCUCAUGUUUGCAAGACACUUUGGGAAUUGAGCCAUCUUUUCAGCCUCUCAAAAUUUUGAAACAAAGUUAAAAUACACUCAAAAAGUUUGGGUUAUUUAUCCCGUCAGUGCUGACAAAAAAAGCCGGCAAACUUUAAUACCCGUUAUUUUAUUUAUAACGUUAUUGUUUUACGAGCUGUGGGCUCUUGAUCAUUUGUCUUAAUUUCUUAAGUUUUUACCUCUUUUUUUCACUCUAAGAUCUUGACUUCCUGGAUGCAAGAGCACCUCCUGCCUCAGCCUUUGUAGUAGCGGCUGGCAUUGUAGACUUGAACCACCACACCUCUUUUGAGUUAGUUUCCUCUGACUCCCACCACCCGUCCUACUGUGGGCCUACUGACUAGAGAGCCAUCUCCCAUAGAACCAGCAGGUUAACCCUUCCAUGCUCUCUCCACAGAAUCUGUCAGUAAGUUUAGGAAAUGCCUUGUGGGCCACAAAGUUGCUUUGGGGGGGAAGUAAUUUCAGGUAGAGUUGGGCUUCCUCUCAGGAGAGUCAGCAAUUCAUUAUAACUUUUUAAAUUAGAAAAGUAAUGAGAGCAUUUCAGAAGUUGUGUAUGUGUGUAUGUGUGUGUGUGUGUGUGUAUGUAUGUAUGUGGGGGGACAAUGAAGAAACUAUUGGGGUGGCGUUUGCGUGGACUGGAUACCAUUUCUGGAGCCUGUCUUAUGUUAACUCUGAGUCCCCUGCUCCACAGCUCAGGAACCUAGAAAGAACAGUCUACACUGGCCAACAGGGGGUGAGCCGUGGCUAUUCCUCCUUAGAGGAGGUCACAGUCUAUCGUGGAAGCAAGUUAGACUCGGACUUCAGACAGGAGCCUGAGGCAGGAACUGAAGCUGAAACUGUGGGAAAAUGCUGCUUGCUGGCUUGCCAGAGGAGCAAAGAUGCUCACUGAGUCCUCAGACCUGCACCCCUGCAGAUGCUCACUGAGUCCUCAGACCUGCACCCCUGCAGAUGCUCACUGACACCUCAGACCUG